rnacentral:snoRNA from 1 species
AGCCUGGUUCCACUUGAGAGUGGGCACUGUUGACAGUGUCCAGCACUGGUCAGGGUCUCAACUGAGACCACUUCUAUCACAGGACAUGUACUCAGUGGUGACACUAAACCUGUAACAUUU